rnacentral:rRNA from 1 species
CCUACGGGUGGCAGCAGUGGGGAAUAUUGGACAAUGGGGGCAACCCUGAUCCAGCCAUGCCGCGUGUGUGAAGAAGACCCUCGGGUUGUAAAGCACUUUCAGUGAGGAAGAACGCCUGGUGGUUAAUACCCAUCAGGAAAGACAUCACUCACAGAAGAAGCACCGGCUAACACCGUGCCAGCAGCCGCGGUAAUACGGAGGGUGCGAGCGUUAAUCGGAAUUACUGGGCGUAAAGCGCGCGUAGGUGGCUUGAUAAGCCGGUUGUGAAAGCCCCGGGCUCAACCUGGGAACGGCAUCCGGAACUGUCAAGCUAGAGUGCAGGAGAGGAAGGUAGAAUUCCCGGUGUAGCGGUGAAAUGCGUAGAGAUCGGGAGGAAUACCAGUGGCGAAGGCGGCCUUCUGGACUGACACUGACACUGAGGUGCGAAAGCGUGGGUAGCAAACAGGAUUAGAUACCCCUGUAGUC